AUAGCUUUGGGAGUUAUUGGUGUGGGUAGUGUAGUCCUACUUUUCUGAUUAGAAAGAUAAGAAUUGAACUUAUAU
rnacentral:tRNA from 1 species